rnacentral:rRNA from 1 species
UACGUAGGGGGCUAGCGUUGUCCGGAAUCAUUGGGCGUAAAGAGCGUGUAGGCGGCCCGGUAAGUCCGCUGUAAAAGUCAAAGGCUCAACCUUUGAAUGUCAGUGGAUACUGCCGGGCUAGAGUCCGGAAGAGGCGAGUGGAACUCCUGGUGUAGCGGUGGAAUGCGCAGAUAUCAAGAAGAACACCAACGGCGAAGGCAGCUCGCUGGGACGGUACUGACGCUGAGACGCGAAAGCGUGGGGAGCGAACAGG